AAUAUUUUCACAAAACUAAACAUUUUAGCAUAAAAUCACAGGUAAUAUAUAGAAUAUUACCUAUGAUAAAAUGUUAAAUACUGAUGUAUAUUUAUUCUAAUCACAUUUAAAUUUAAACUCAAAAUUUUCAUAAAAAGAAAAUGAUAAUUUUUCGUAAAUAUAAAGUAAAUAAUAUUACAUAUUUCAGGUUGAUUGACGAAUACUCUACAGUUGAUUAGAGCCCAUGAUGAUGCGAAGAUAAUUAAUAUCACCUAACUUCAAGAAACCAGCAUAAAGAAGUUUACAUUCAUAACUCAUCUAACCAUUAUAGAUCAGUAAUGUCGUCAUAAUUUAAAUGAACUCACAGAUAGCAAUGGGGCACUGCACCGAAGCAGUAUUACAAAAUAUGUGAAAUAAAACUGUAAUACAAAUUGCUCUAUAAAAUUUAAUAGAAAUAAAUUUAUUUAUGAAAAUUAAGUUAUGAAGUUUUAUUUUUCCUAGGAAAAAAAUAACAUUUAUAUUUUGAUCAAUUUAGAACAUUACAGUUAAAAAAAUAUGUGUUAGAAUAACAUAUUUUUAAUAAAAUUGCAGCUUUUAAUUUUUAUACUUUUUUGCUUUUAUAUCAAUAAGAACUAACGUAAGGAACAAUUCAUAUUUAUACUAUGAAAACACAUGCAUAUUUUUUGAUGUUUUUAAAACCAGUGAAUGAUGUUGAAAUAUACUACACCUAUUAUUCUUAUUAACUAACUUUAAUUACAAACUUACACAUUAUUGUCAUUGGAAAUAAAUUAAUUUGGAUAUUCUA